AGCUCCAAUAGCGUAUAUUAAAGUUGUUGCAGUUAAAAAGCUCGUAGUUGGAUCUCGGGCACCAGCAGGCGGUACGCUUUAUUGCUGUUACUACUUGUCUGGUCCUAAUCAAUCGGUUGGCCGUUGAUGCCCUUUAUUGGGUGUUUUUGGUAGCCGAUACGUUUACUUUGAGAAAAUUAGAGUGCUUAAAGCAGGCUUUACGCCUGAAUAAUGUUGCAUGGAAUAAUAGAAUAGGACCUCGGUUCUAUUUUGUUGGUUUUGUAGAGCAUUGAGGUAAUGAUUAAUAGGGACAGACGGGGGCAUUCGUAUUGCGGUGUUAGAGGUGAAAUUCUUGGAUCGCCGCAAGACGAACAACUGCGAAAGCAUUUGCCAAGAAUGUUUUCA
rnacentral:rRNA from 1 species